AUUGAACGCUGGCGGCAGGCCUAACACAUGCAAGUCGAGCGGUAGCACAGAGAGCUUGCUCUUGGGUGACGAGCGGCGGACGGGUGAGUAAUGUCUGGGAAACUGCCUGAUGGAGGGGGAUAACUACUGGAAACGGUAGCUAAUACCGCAUAACGUCGCAAGACCAAAGUGGGGGACCUUCGGGCCUCAUGCCAUCAGAGGUGCCCAGAUGGGAUUAGCUAGUAGGUGGGGUAACGGCUCACCUAGGCGACGAUCCCUAGCUGGUCUGAGAGGAUGACCAGCCACGCUGGAACUGAGACACGGUCCAGACUCCUACGGGAGGCAGCAGUGGGGAAUAUUGCACAAUGGGCGCAAGCCUGAUGCAGCCAUGCCGCGUGUGUGAAGAAGGCCUUCGGGUUGUAAAGCACUUUCAGCGGGGAGGAAGGCGUUAAGGUUAAUAACCUUGGCGAUUGACGUUACCCGCAGAAGAAGCACCGGCUAACUCCGUGCCAGCCGCCGCAGUAA
rnacentral:rRNA from 1 species